rnacentral:rRNA from 1 species
AACGAACGCUGGCGGCAUGCCUAACACAUGCAAGUCGAACGAGACCUUCGGGUCUAGUGGCGCACGGGUGCGUAACGCGUGGGAACCUGCCUUUAGGUUCGGGAUAACUCAGAGAAAUUUGAGCUAAUACCGGAUGAUGUCUUCGGACCAAAGAUUUAUCGCCCUAAGAUGGGCCCGCGUUGGAUUAGCUGGUUGGUGGGGUAAAGGCCUACCAAGGCGACGAUCCAUAGCUGGUCUGAGAGGAUGAUCAGCCACACUGGGACUAGGACCCGGCCGGGACUCCUACGGAAGGCGGCAGUGGGGGAUAGUGGACAAUGGGCGGAAGGCUGAUCGAGCAAGGCCGCGUAAGUGAUGAAGGCCUUAAGGUUGUAAAGCUCUUUUACCCGAGAUGAUAAUGACGGUAUCGAAAGAAUAAGCUCCGGCUAACUCCGUG